UGCAAGUCGAACGAGAAAGUGGAGCAAUCCAUGAGUACAGUGGCGUACGGGUGAGUAACACGUGACUAACCUACCCUCGAGUGGGGAAUAACUUCGGGAAUCCGAGGCUAAUACCGCAUAACAUCUACGGAUCAAAUGCGCAAGCAGCUUGAGGAGGGGGUCGCGGCUGAUUAGCUAGUUGGCGGGGUAACGGCCCACCAAGGCAAUGAUCAGUAGCCGGCCUGAGAGGGCGCACGGCCACACUGGAACUGAAACACGGUCCAGACUCCUACGGGAGGCAGCAGUGGGGAAUUUUGCGCAAUGGGGGAAACCCUGACGCAGCAACGCCGCGUGGAGGAUGAAGCCCCUUGGGGUGUAAACUCCUUUCGAUCGGGACGAUUAUGACGGUACCGGAUGAAGAAGCACCGGCUAACUCUGUGCCAGCAGCCGCGGUAAUACAGAGGGUGCAAGCGUUGUUCGGAAUUAUUGGGCGUAAAGGGUGCGUANGCGGUGCGGUAAGUCUUCUGUGA
rnacentral:rRNA from 1 species